GUCAAAGCCGGAUGGAACUGAGAUGUAGCGAGCAUACAGCUCUUCCAGGAUGCGGUGCACGGGCCCGCAGUUGAAGGCUGCAGACUGAAAGCAGUGGCAGACAUGGCGUGUCCUUUUCAUGAAGAGCCAGUUGAUGUCGAGACACAGAUACUCCGCAGAAAUGUCCGUCGGGAGAGGAUUAUCGGUGAUGCGGAGCAUGUGUCCAAUUCAACUGUCUGUCGGGCUGUCCGAAAUGUGACACUUGCACUGAAACGGCUACUAUACACGUUUGUAGUGUUCCCAAGUCACAGACCCACCAGACUUGCAGAUCAUGUGAUGCAGCCUACAUGAUAAACAAUGUGGAAGCGAAGUGGCCUGGGUCUGUGCAUGACUCACGAAAUGUUUCCAGAUUUGCCCGUGGAGAGUUGCCAGCGCUAUCUGCUGACCCUUUACCCUGACCCUGAGCCUGGCCCACAGCAACACUACAACUUGGCUCACUGCAUGAAACGAGCCAGAGUGGAGAUGACCAUCGGGAUACUCAACGCCCGGUUCCAGUGCCUUUGUAGGCUCAGGGUCACCCCAAGAAAGGGCUUGUGACAUUAUAGUGGCAUGUGUGGUUCUCCACAACAUUGCCACUAUUAGAGGAGAACAACUCUUUUCCCCAAUGAUCCAGAUAAUAAUCCUGACCCCUAAACCUCAACAGGCCUCUCUGCAUCUUCCCUCUCUGUGGCAGCUGAUAAUGUGUCUUCAUCAUCCUCCUGUAAUGAAACAGAAUGAUUGUGUUAUAUUCUACCCAUUAUGACAAAUCUGUGGAAUAUUAAGAGUACUUACAAGAGCAUGGAGGUCUGUUAUGGCACAAGGCUCCACGAGACAGAUUACACCAUCAGUAAUUGGUAGAAGAUGAAGAUUAGACAGUUGAUGAUUACACAGAAAAGUGCCCCACCUAAUUUAAAUUUCUUUUACAAUGGUGUGCAGGUCCCAUCACAAUUUUUCAAACUCUGAGUCACCUUUAAAAUAGAUUGAUAUCUGAAAGCAACAGCAGCCAAUUACAAAGAACUGAAUCAGUGUGCCAAGUUGUGUCUAAGAUGAAUGGGUUGCCAUUACUGAGCGAACACUAGAAAAAGGAUUAAUGUACAUGCCAUUCAUUUGAAUAACUUACCUGUCCUAAUCUACACUUUUUGAUCAUAAGAACAGGUCCAGCUGCUAAUAUCCUGAUCUGGUCUCUGUGCAGGUGGAGCAACAAAAGCAGAAGGCACAGCUGUGGGAACAAGGAUGAAAAUCCAAAACAUGUAGUCAUUUACAAAAAAUAUUAUAGAUUUUAUAAGUGGAGGUGGGCUUGGUUCAUUUAGCUGCAGGAGAGGGAAAGGUGUGGAGAUGGCUUAUGAGAGCAGCGGCAGGUGAGUUGACUGUUACAGCUGGUGCUCAUUGACCGAUUAUUACUCGUUCUCUGUGUUUAUAGCCAACAGUGCCAGGUAACUGGUAAUCACUGGUUCAAGAGUCCCCACUGCUGUUCCUCAAAUAGUUUUUCAAACAAUGUAGAAAAGAAAAACUGUGCUGACACCUUAUUGAGAUAGGAGAUAUCAGUUUAUACAAAGUCCAUAGAUGCAUCGUUGUAGGUCCUCUUGAGGGAUAGCAACUCCUGUGUGCUGGUGAUGAUGUGUCCCAAUUCCUCUUUUCUCUGCAGUAGCUGGUGAGGAGGGUGGUGGUGGUUUUCCCUCACUGAUGCCAUGAUGACAAGCCAUGGGCUGUAGGCAUUGUUUGUCCAGAAAAGAUGUGUGUUUGGGACUUUUCAGUACAUCCUCGAUUCAAAACAAACUUUUCAUGAAUGUGUGGGUUUGACUGGCCAAUGAAGUCACACAGGGUAGCCCGGAUUGCUGGGAGAGUUUUCCUGACUGCCCAAAUUGCAUUAUACUGGCAUGCCCAUCGAGUGUUUCAUAAACUCUUUAGUUAUAUGUGCUCUGGCUGCUGGCUCAAGUUCAUUCAUGCAUAUUGAUCCAACCAGCUUUUGUUAAAACUACUCUGAUUACCAAAUGGUCAUGCUGGGUAAGAAGUGGCACUCUUCAGGAUGGUUGCUAAUACCAGUAGCAAUGCUAGCAUCCUCAGCAGCUAUCGUGGGUAGCCGCAGCAGGUCCUCUUGGUCAUCUCCAUGCUCUGGCAUUUCUUGGGUAACCUUGUCAGUGACUACUAGCAUACUGUCAACACCCUAAUGAGACCGAACAUCACCAGUAUUAGUCCUAUUACACUCAGCUCAGAUCACUCUCACAAGUUUUGAGUUUCCACACAAGGACGUGUAUGGACUGGAAAAAAAUAAUUUCCAUUGUAACCCAACUUUACUAAUGCUAAGAUUGCCACUCUGGCUAACAGGAAGUGGACAUAACAUCAAAAGUUAAAUGCUUUCUGACAUUAUACAUGCUAAACAUCAGCAUGUUAGGAUUGUCAUUGUGUGUAUGUUUAUAUUUAGCUCACGUACAGCCUCACAUGAAUGGGAAAUCACAUAAAAACAGACAGUGGUUCAUAACAUGCUUGAACAAACUCAUUUACAUGAGCGAAUAUCACUUACUAGUAUUAACAUCUGUUAACUGCUCCAGUUGUAGCCAAUAAUAAGUGAAUUUACUAUUUGUUAUGUUUUAUAUGUAAUUAAGACAAACUGUAGGGAAACACAAAUAGGAAUGCUCUCACAUGGUUGGUAAUGGCAAUGCCUAAUAAUGUUAGCAACAAGUUAGCAGUGGUGGAAAAAAUGUAUUUGCCUGUUAGUAGUUUGUCAUUCUUUAUGCAAGUAUAGUGUAUCUGUAUACGAGCAGCUAAAUGCCCAAAAUUCAACUCUAACAAAAACAUCUCUAAAAAAGAAGAAAAAAAAAAUCUCUACAACAAACGAGCAAACUGUCAACAUCGGUAAGAAUUAGUUUCAUCCCAAUCUUCCCUGAUGGAAGCAUAUUUUGUAGUGCCUCUGGCACAGAAUAUUAUCAAGUUAAUGUAAAACUAACAUCAUUAUGCCUGCCAACCAGAACAGCUUAACAGCAGGGAGUCAUGUUCUCAAUAACCACUCUCCCACUGUUUCCCGUUACAGAUUAAUGAACUCGGUGUCAAGCAGCACUUCAUUUCACUUUGCCCUCAGUAAAUGUAUAAUCAUCACUAAUAGAUAAACAAACAUGGGAACUUGUCUUGCCUCAUUGCUUGCACUGCGUUGUCGUGUUUUAUAUGGGAAUGUUAAAUGGUUUAUAGCACUUUACUGUAAUACCAACAUUACUUUUUUUUAACCACAGAAAUUGAAGUUUUACAAUUGAUAAGACAUUUCGAUGGUGUGUAAAGCUGUUGGCUGGUCAGUGUAACUGUACAUUAUUUUGUUUUCCACACACACAU